rnacentral:tRNA from 1 species
GGGCCUAUAGCUCAAUCGGUUAGAGUCCCCCGCUCAUAACGGGGUUGUUCCUGGUUCGAGUCCAGGUGGGCCCACCA